CCUACGGGUGGCAGCAGUCGAGAAUCAUUCACAAUGGGGGAAACCCUGAUGGUGCGACGCCGCGUGGGGGAAUGAAGGUCUUCGGAUUGUAAACCCCUGUCAUGUGGGAGCAAAUUAAAAAGAUAGUACCACAAGAGGAAGAGACGGCUAACUCUGUGCCAGCAGCCGCGGUAAUACAGAGGUCUCAAGCGUUGUUCGGAAUCACUGGGCGUAAAGCGUGCGUAGGCUGUUUCGUAAGUCGUGGGUGAAAGGCGGGGGCUCAACCCGCGGACGGCACAUGAUACUGCGAGACUAGAGUAAUGGAGGGGGAACCGGAAUUCUCGGUGUAGCAGUGAAAUGCGUAGAUAUCGAGAGGAACACUCGUGGCGAAGGCGGGUUCCUGGACAUUAACUGACGCUGAGGCACGAAGGCCAGGGGAGCGAAAGGGAUUAGAUACCCCAGUAGUC
rnacentral:rRNA from 1 species